CGGCGGACGGGUGAGUAAUACUUAGGAAUCUGCCUAUUAAUGGGGGACAACAUCUCGAAAGGGAUGCUAAUACCGCAUACGCCCUACGGGGGAAAGCAGGGGAUCACUUGUGACCUUGCGUUAAUAGAUGAGCCUAAGUCGGAUUAGCUAGUUGGUGGGGUAAAGGCCUACCAAGGCGACGAUCUGUAGCGGGUCUGAGAGGAUGAUCCGCCACACUGGGACUGAGACACGGCCCAGACUCCUACGGGAGGCAGCAGUGGGGAAUGUUGGACAAUGGGGGGAACCCUGAUCCAGCCAUGCCGCGUGUGUGAAGAAGGCCUUAUGGUUGUAAAGCACUUUAAGCGAGGAGGAGGCUCUUUUGGUUAAUACCCAAGAUGAGUGGACGUUACUCGCAGAAUAAGCACCGGCUAACUCUGUGCCAGCAGCCGCGGUAAUACAGAGGGUGCGAGCGUUAAUCGGAUUUACUGGGCGUAAAGCGUGCGUAGGCGGCUUUUUAAGUCGGAUGUGAAAUCCCCGAGCUUAACUUGGGAAUUGCAUUCGAUACUGGGAAGCUAGAGUAUGGGAGAGGAUGGUAGAAUUCCAGGCGUAGCGGUGAAAUGCGUAGAGAUCUGGAGGAAUACCGAUGGCGAAGGCAGCCAUCUGGCCUAAUACUGACGCUGAGGUACGAAAGCAUGGGGAGCAUACAGGAUUAGAUACCCUGGUAGUCCAUGCCGUAAACGAUGUCUACU
rnacentral:rRNA from 1 species